GACAACUGGCGGCUUGUUGAGCUUAGGGAUCCUUGAAGUGGCCGGGCCUGAGAGUGAGACCCCAGUCCUAGGCUGGGGUUCUUUCCAAAUAGAGGAAACGGAUCCCGAAGGGCUACAGACCAAAAUUGUUGAGAACCAGACAUAUGAUGAGCGUCUAGAGAUUAACGACUCGGAAGAGGUUGCCAGUAUUAGCACUCCAACCCCAGGACAUCAAGGCUCUAAACCACUUUCUUCCAGGUAGGCUUUGUCACUCAGUCCUGUCCCUGACCCCGUUUAGAGGAGGAAAUGCUGACACUCAGAGAGGGCCCUCCUUUUUCUGCCGCUCUUCCCAGCAAGGUGAUGGCUGAUAACAGCAGUGAUGAGUACGAGGAGGACAACAAGGAGAAGAAGAAGCCCUCACAGCUGACCCCUCAGCAAGGCUUCAGUGAGAAUGAUGACGACGAUGACGAUGACUCCUCUGAGACCGACUCUGAUGACGAUGACGACGACGAGGAGCAUGGAGCACCCCUGGAAGGGGCCUAUGAUCCUGCGGACUAUGAGCAUCUGCCAGUCUCGGCUGAGAUCAAGGAGCUCUUUGAGUACAUUAGCCGGUACACACCUCAGUUGAUUGAUCUGGACCACAAACUGAAACCUUUCAUUCCUGAUUUUAUCCCAGCUGUUGGGGAUAUCGAUGCAUUUUUAAAGGUGCCGCGUCCUGAUGGAAAGCCUGACCACCUGGGCCUCUUGGUUUUAGAUGAACCGUCUACCAAGCAGUCGGACCCUACCGUGCUUUCCCUGUGGUUAACAGAGAAUUCCAAGCAGCAUAACAUUACGCAACAUAUGAAAGUAAAGAGCCUAGAGGAUGCAGAAAAGAAUCCCAAAGCCAUUGACACCUGGAUUGAGAGCAUCUCUGAGUUACACCGUUCCAAGCCCCCUGCGACUGUGCACUACACCAGGUGACAAUAACUACAGGUCACUAUGUAGUCUUGGCUGACCUCCUGCUUCUCUGCCUCCUGCAUGACAGUACCUGGCAGAGACAUGGCUUCACCACUGUAAUUUAUAGCCCAUGCCUGACAUUGACACUCUGAUGCAGGAGUGGUCCCCUGAGUUUGAAGAGCUCCUGGGAAAGGUGAGUCUGCCCACUGUCGAGAUCGAUUGCAGCCUGGCUGAGUACAUUGACAUGAUCUGUGCCAUCCUGGACAUUCCUUUCUACAAGAGCCGGAUUCAGUCCCUCCACCUGCUCUUUUCCCUCUACUCAGAAUUCAAGAAUUCCCAGCAUUUUAAAGCUCUUGCUGAAGGCAAGAAAACAUUCACUCCUCCAUCCAACUCUGCCUCCCAGGCUGGAGAUGCGGAGACACUGAGUUUCCUCUGAGCCUCCUCUUGGGGCUGUGCUUCAAAGUCAGGUGAACAUGGUCUCUGUUGGCAGCUUAACAUCUCCCUGCUCCACAGUUGGGCCCUGGCCACACAAGUCCUGCUGCCUUGUCUUUGAGAGCAGGGCACACCUGGGCUACACCUGCCUCCCUUUGCCUUUCCCGAGGAAGGAUGUGUCCACACUGCUGUGGGCAGCUGAGUUGGAAGAACUGGGACUCCGAGAGCCUCAGAACUUCCAGAGACACACAGACUGUUCUGUCAGGUUAUGAUGGAAUAUAUAUUGGUUUUC
rnacentral:lncRNA from 1 species